GUGCUUGUCUUGGCAGCACAUGUACUAAAAUUAGAAUGAUACAGGGAAAAUUAGUAUUGCUCCUAUGACAGGAUGACACAGAAAUUCAUGAAGUCUUCCCUAGAUUU
rfam:Otolemur garnettii contig010423, whole genome shotgun sequence.